rnacentral:rRNA from 1 species
GUAAUGUGAAUUGCAGAAUUCAGUGAAUCAUCGAAUCUUUGAACGCACAUUGCGCCCUGUGGUAUUCCGCAGGGCAUGCCUGUUCGAGCGUCAUUUAACCACUCACGCCUAGCGUGGUAUUGGGGCACGCGGUCUCCGCGGCCCUCAAAAUUAGUGGCGGUGCCGGUGGGCUCUAAGCGUAGUACAUACUCCCGCUAUAGAGUUCCCCCCGGUGGCUCGCCAGAACCCCCAAUUUUUACAGGUUGACCUCGGAUCAGGUAGGGAUACCCGCUGAACUUAAGCAUAUCAAUAAGCGGAGGAAAAGAAACCAACAGGGAUUACCUCAGUAACGGCGAGUGAAGCGGUAACAGCUCAAAUUUGAAAGCUGCCAACAGGCCGCGUUGUAAUUUGUAGAAGCUGCUUUGGGUGUCGGCCUGGUCUAAGUUCCUUGGAACAGGACGUCAUAGAGGGUGAGAAUCCCGUAUGUGAUCGGUGCCGUUGCCCGUGUAAAGCGCUUUCGACGAGUCGAGUUGUUUGGGAAUGCAGCUCAAAAUGGGUGGUAAAUUUCAUCUAAAGCUAAAUAUUGGCCAGAGACCGAUAGCGCACAAGUAGAGUGAUCGAAAGGUGAAAAGCACUUUGGAAAGAGAGUUAAACAGUACGUGAAAUUGUUGAAAGGGAAGCGCUUGCAACCAGACUUGCGGGCGGUCGAUCAUCCGAGGUUCUCCCCGGUGCACUCGAUCGUUCUCAGGCCAGCAUCGGUUUCCGGGGUGGGAUAAAGGCGGUGGGAAUGUGGCUCUUCGGAGUGUUAUAGCCCACCGUGCAAUGCCGCCACUGGGGACCGAGGACCGCGCUUCGGCUAGGAUGCUGGCGUAAU